rnacentral:siRNA from 1 species
UAGGACUUGGAAAAGACCCUGUCU